GCACUGUGGAUUGGGAGAUUGAGCUGGUGGAGUCAAAGAGACUAGUGAAUUUUGUGAUUGAAAAUGACUCAUUGAAGAUGGUCAAGGCUCUUAAGAAAGCUAUUGCAAGCUAUGGGGUGGCUUCAUUUCAACUUCAAGAUGUCACCUAUCAAUUCAACUCUAGUAAGGCGCAGGUAACUCGAUGGAUCGCACGGCCUUUGCGCCGGCGAUGCAUCAUUCAAAUUUCUGCCCUAUCAACUUUCGAUGGUAGUAUAGUGGCCUACCAUGGUGGUGUCAGGUGACGGAGAAUUAGGGUUUGAUUCUAGAGUAGGUGCCUGAGAAACGGCUAUCGCAUCCAAGGAAGGCAGCAGGCACCCAAAUUACCCAAUCCUGACACCGGGAGGUAGUGGCAAUGAAUAACAAUACCAGGCUCUUCGAGUCUGGUAAUUGGAAUGAGUGCUACCUAAAUCCCUUAACGANNNNNNNNNNNNNNNNNNNNUUGAUGCCAGCAGCCGCAGUAAUUCCAGCUCCAAUAGCGUAUAUUUAAGUUGUUAAAGUUAAAAAGCUCGUGGUUGGACCUUGGGGUGGGCCGACCGGUCUGCCUUGCGGUGUGCAUUGGUCGUCCUACUCCUUCUACCGGCGAUGCGCUCCUAGCCUUAACUGGCCGCGUCGUGCCACCAGUGCUGUUACUUUGAAGAAAUUAGAGUGAUCAAAGCAGGCCUACGCUCUUGAUACAUUAGCAUGGGAUAACAUCAUAGGAUUCCGGUCCUAUUGCGAUGGCCUUCAGGAUCGGAGUAAUGAUUAACAGGGACAGUCUAAAGCAUUCGUAUUUCAUAAUCAGAGGUGAAAUUCUUAAAUUUAUGAAAGACAAACAAUUGCGAAAGCAUUUGGCAAGGAUGUUUUCAUUAAUCAAGAAUGAAAGUUGGGGGCUCGAAGACGAUCAGCUACUGUCCUAGUCUUAACCAUAAACGAUGGCGACCAGGGAUUGGCAGAUGUUGCUUUCAGGACGCCGCCGACACCUUAUGAUAAAUCAAAGUUUUUGGGUUCCGGGGGAAGCAUAGUUGCAAGGCUGAAACUUAAAGGAAUUGACGAAAGGGCAACACCAGGAGUAGGGCCUACGGCUUAAUUUGACUCAACACGGGGAAACUUACCAGGUCCAGAUAUAGUAAGGAUUGACAGAUUGAGAGCUCUUUCUUGAUUCUGUAGGUAGUGGUGCAUGGCCGUUCUUAGUUGGUGGAGCGAUUUGUCUGGUUAAUUCCCUUAGCGAAUGAGAUCUCAGCCUGCUAACUAGCUAUGCAGAGGUAACCCUUCAUAGAUAGCUUCUUAGAGGGACUAUGGCCUUUGAGGCCACGGAAGUUUGAGGCAAUAACAGGUCUGUGAUGCCCUUAGAUGUUCUGGGUUGCACGCGCGCUACACUGAUGCAUUCCACGAGUCUAUAGUCUUGGCCGACAUGCCUUGUUAAUCUUUAAAAUUUUAUCGUGAUUGGGAUAGAUCAUUGUAAUUGUUGGUCUUCAAUGAUGAAUUCCUAGUAAGCGCUAGUCAUCAGCUCGUGUUGACUACGUCCUUGCCCUUUGUACACACCGCCCAUUGCUCCUACCGAUUGAAUGGUCCGGUGAAGUGUUCAGAUCGUGGCGACGUGGGCAGUUCGCCACUGGCGACGCCAUGAGAAGUCCACUGAACCUUAUCAUUUAGAGGAAGGAGAAGUCGUAACAAGGUUUCCGCAGGUGAACCUGCGAAAA
rnacentral:rRNA from 1 species